UAGCUUCGCGAGGAGUGCUCGAGACCUG
rnacentral:sRNA from 1 species